CGCGUAGGCGGUUAUAUAAGUGAGAUGUGAAAGCCCUGGGCUUAACCUAGGAACUGCAUCUUAUACUGUGUAGCUAGAGUAUUGUAGAGGGUAGUGGAAUUUCCGGUGUAGCGGUGAAAUGCGUAGAGAUCGGAAGGAACACCAGUGGCGAAGGCGGCUACCUGGACAAAUACUGACGCUGAGGCGCGAGAGCGUGGGGAGCAAACAGGAUUAGAUACCCUGGUAGUCCACGCUGUAAACGAUGAGAACUAGAUGUUGGGCAGCUUGACUGUUUAGUAUCGAAGCUAACGCGAUAAGUUCUCCGCCUGGGGAGUACGGCCGCAAGGUUAAA
rnacentral:rRNA from 1 species